rnacentral:rRNA from 1 species
UACAGAGGUGGCAAGCGUUGUUCGGAAUUACUGGGCGUAAAGGGCGCGUAGGCGGCCCACUAAGUCAGACGUGAAAUCCCCCGGCUUAACCUGGGAACUGCGUCUGAUACUGGAGGGCUUGAGUAUGGGAGAGGGAUGUAGAAUUCCAGGUGUAGCGGUGAAAUGCGUAGAUAUCAGGAGGAACACCGGUGGCGAAGGCGGUUCUCUGGGCAUGAUCUGACGCUGAGGAGCGAAAGUGUGGGGAGCGAACAGG